UACGUAGGGUGCGAGCGUUAAUCGGAAUUCUGGGCGUAAAGCGUGCGCAGGCGGUUGUGCAAGACCGAUGUGAAAUCCCCGGGCUUAACCUGGGGAUGGCAUUGGUGACUGCACGGCUAGAGUGUGUCAGAGGGGGGUAGAAUUCCACGUGUAGCAGUGAAAUGCGUAGAUAUGUGGAGGAACACCGAUGGCGAAGGCAGCCCCCUGGGUCAAAAACUGACGCUCA
rnacentral:rRNA from 1 species